UGUUCUCAACUAAACUGAGAACCUGAGAUCAGAAAUCAGAACCGCCGCGCCGCUUGUCUCUCCUUUUAACGCUUAUUCUUCUUCGUUACUAUGCUCUAAUUCUUCUUCCCAAUUCCUUCGACAGUCUUUGAGCACUUGAGGCUUUUUGCAACCAAGACCAUGUCUUUUCAACGUGAACGAUUAUUGGGUGGCCAAAAGUCGU